rnacentral:rRNA from 1 species
GAUGAACGCUGGCGGCGUGCUUAAUACAUGCAAGUCGAGCGAACGGACGCGAAGCUUGCUUCUCUGAUGUUAGCGGCGGACGGGUGUGUAACACGUGGAUAACCUACCUAUAAGACUGGGAUAACUUCGGGAAACCGGAGCUAACACCGGAUAAUAUUUUGAACCGCAUGGUUCAAAAGUGAAAGACGGUCUUGCUGUCACUUAUAGAUGGAUCCGCGCUGCAUUAGAUAGUUGGUACGGUAACGGCUUACCAAGGCAACGAUGCAUAGCCGACCUGAGAGAGUGAUCGGCCACACGGGAACUGAAACACGGUCAAGACUCCUACGGGAGGCAGCAGUAGGGAAUCUUCCGCAGUGGGCGAGAGCCUGACGGAGCAACGCCGCGUGAGUGAUGAAGGUCUUCGGAUCGUAAAACUCUGUUAUGAGGGAAGAACAUAUGUGUAAGGAACUGUGCACAUCUUGACGGUACCUAAUCAGAAAGCCACGGCUAACUACGUG